rnacentral:rRNA from 1 species
AUUGAACGCUGGCGGCAUGCUUUACACAUGCAAGUCGAACGGUAACAGGCCGCAAGGUGCUGACGAGUGGCGAACGGGUGAGUAAUGCAUCGGAACGUGCCCAGUCGUGGGGGAUAACGCAGCGAAAGCUGCGCUAAUACCGCAUACGAUCUAUGGAUGAAAGCGGGGGACCGUAAGGCCUCGCGCGAUUGGAGCGGCCGAUGUCAGAUUAGGUAGUUGGUGGGGUAAAGGCUCACCAAGCCAACGAUCUGUAGCUGGUCUGAGAGGACGACCAGCCACACUGGGACUGAGGCACGGCCCAGACUCCUACGGGAGGCAGCAGUGGGGAAUUUUGGACAAUGGGGGCAACCCUGAUCCAGCAAUGCCGCGUGCAGGAAGAAGGCCUUCGGGUUGUAAACUGCUUUUGUACGGAACGAAACGGUCUGGGUUAAUACCCUGGGCUAAUGACGGUACCGUAAGAAUAAGCACCGGCUAACUACGUGCCAGCAGCCGCCGUAAAAC